UGAAGUAGGUUCCCACAAAAGUGAUUGUAGAUAUGCCAAGAUAUGCCAUAACUGGUUGGUUGUUUCAGGGGGAUGACAGAUGGGGAUUUCAGCCUACCGCACAUAAUUUCCAAUAUGGCGUCGUGUGUUUAUAAACAAUGGGUGUUUGUAUAUAAACAGCAAAAAAGCAAAAGGAGCAAAAUUAUUUCGAAUCGUUUGAAUAAUUCUUACCAAAUUAUCCUGCGAUCAAAUUCCAUCCGGGCAAGUUCCGGAUUUGGAUCAAACACCCGUGUCACAAAUCUGUGCAACGAAAUCCACGGUGUGGCUGAUGGACAUCUUAGCUGCAUCCAGUUCUGCUCAAAGGAGUUUAUCGAAACGGCGCUUGCGAUGAACGAAACGCUGUUCCGGAAUUGCCAUGUAGAGGUCAACCCAAAGCACAACAACCAACUUCUGCGGGGCAUUCGGUCCCGGCCCUCGGAUCGUCGGUGUAACACGCUCGAUCAAACCCUCCCGCUCGUCAGAUCCGCAAGCCUUCCUGAACAGAUUCGCACGGGACACACGUCUACAAAGGUGUGCCGCCGGAUGUUUGCCGGAGAAUUAUGUUUGCGGUUUCAGCAGCUGAAGAACCUAGGACUCACACAUCAGCCGGAUCAGCAGCUGCUGCCACGUAAAGCAGGACUUCAACCAGCACCAUUUCCCAGGAAAGAUUUCAAAGUUCAACGUUUUUAUAUAUCUAUUAAAAUAAAUAAAGUUUUGCCCAGAUCCCUUCUCCAAUCGGCCGCUAGUCUCGAUCUAUCCCUGCCGGUCCUGGUCCGCGUCUUGUUUGUCAUCAACCGUUCUAGAAUAGAUGCUCUUCCGGAUCCCCUCCUCAUUAGUCUACUGAACCUUCGCCUUCUCGGCUUCGUCCUCCUCGCGCGAUCGGAUGACCAUACCAGCGCGAGACACCAGAUAAAUAUUUGUUGAGCAGUCGCAUCAACUCGACCCGUUUCUUCUCGAUCCGUUAACCCGGAACGUUGGGACGCAAAACAGUUUACUCUUGGCCGCGCGAGGCUUCCAGCGGAAACGGAGCAGCGUUUACUUUUUUGCAGCAGCAGUUUGAAACUUCACUGGGUUAACUAAGCAUCGUGAGGUCAGCGGAUCGGCGGCGGAAUAAAUAAAAAUUAAAUAAAAAUAUCCAAAACUGUAA